ACCUGGGUGACUCAGUAGGUAGAGCACCCAACUCUUGAUCUUGGGAAUGUGAGUUUGAGUCCCACCUUGGGUG
rnacentral:tRNA from 1 species